CAUGAGGCCAAACCAUGAGCUGCCUUACAAAUGAACUGCUUCUUUUCUGGACCUUGGAAAAGGAGACUUGACUAAUAUAAGAACCAGAAAUUUUGUGUUAUUGCACCACUUGCGAAACAGUCACGUAUCAUAAUCAAGUCUGUUGCUAUAGUGAACCUGAAUAAAGAGAGAUUCCCUAAAUUACACAA